rnacentral:lncRNA from 1 species
CUCUAUAGAUCCCUGAUUAAACAACAGUGCCAAGGUCAGUCUGGGUAAUGCAUAUUGAACAUAAAAGUUACCAAGUCUGUGUAUCCAGUCAUUUGGUUAUAAAAAGAACAAACAUAAACAUAGUUCUAGUGAAUUUAAUUAUUUGACUUCUGAAAAACACUUAAUUUGAAGAAUGAUAAUCAGUUUUUCUUGAUAACUUGGAGUUUUACAUCUCUGGAGUUCCAUUGGAGCCUGUUGCCUGACAUUUAUCUUCAUUGCAGGCACUAAUGUCAAUGGAGCAAGAAUUCUUACAUCCUUCAUCGCCUAUUUCAUUUUGUGCAUGUCUUUAUGAAGUAUGGCCACAGUUGUUAAAGAUCUGGCGAUGGAAUGGAAGUUGCAGAGGAUGAGAGAGAUUCUUUACUCACCUGGUCUCUGCACCGAUUGAGCUGAUCUAUUUUCAUGUACAGCAGUUGUUUUUUGGCCAAUGUUUUUCUUGAUUCUGGACACAGGGGAGUGGUUUAUUUUCGAGUCAGGGAUUGAGCCCUGGAUAUGGCACGAGAACCCCCACUGGAUAUCACCAGAACACAGUAGGAAUGAUCAAAUGAUGCAAAUACCCAUCUGUCUGACCAUUUCUCACUGUAUAUUCAAGUUGGUGAUAUGGGUAUCUCAUCAUCCCAAGUUACAGAAUGCAUCAUUGAAAGCUAGAAGGCUGUUGAUAAGUCAGUUCUUAAGCUUCAGGUUGUCCGAAAUCACUAGAUGCCAUUCACCAUCCUUCUUGUCCUGUUUUUUUAGCAGUGCUGGCCUUGCAGAAUUUGUAUGCAGUAGUGACCGAAGAACUUGCCUCCACCACUUUUCGGCCUAUCUUAUUGUUGGCGGGUGCUUAGUGAAAGCAUGACUUUUUGGUGUGUAUAUAAAGAUGAGUGAUAGCCUACAAAUUAAUCCUAUUCGUGCCAUUUAAUUUUUAUGUAAGCCUUGGUGGAUAUUCGGUUUCAACAUAAAGUUUCUAAAGCUGGGGUGGUUGAUCGGUUGAUUUGUCUCUGUUAGCCAUUGGUUCAUGAAUUUUCAACUUGUAGCUGGAAAAGUAGAUUUUUGAAAAGGAAAUGUUAAGGGAAUGGGAUUAUAUAACUCAAGCAAAAAUGACAUUUUAGUUUAACUUAGGAACAGAGUUUGUUAUGUUGCUGUAAUAUAAAAAUUCUUGUCAACUGGGGGAGAAAAUAAAUUUAUGGUGGAUUGGCAUCUAAAUAACAAGUUCAAACAUAAGCUUUCCUUUUGUUUUAUUUCAGAAACAAUAAAUGCUAACUUUCCAAGUAGUUGCUGGUUAGCUUGCCGCCAGAAUUUUGGUAGAUUUCAUUUGCUUCAAUCCUGGUGUGGACAAUCUUACUAACUAUAAAAAUGAGGAGCAGCAGCAGCAGCAACAUUUUAGCAGCAGCCAUUCCAAACUGCAAAAUAGCCAUGUCCCAUUAGCUCUUGCUUUAUUCCCUAUAUCUGUAAUACGGCAUUGAACUGAGAUCCGAAGUGCAUUGCUACGAUAAUUUGAUUAAACAUUUAUGACGAACUUGAAUCUGUGGGGCUUUUCAGUGCAUUUGAGUAGAUAAAUUAGAAAAUGAAGUAAACAGAGAUUGCGGACAAAUUUCAUCACAAAAGCUGCUCGGUUGACUUCAGAACAAGCCUAGAGAACAUGGUGUGGAGGGCUAGCAGUUUUAGCAGCUGGUCAUAAGAACAAGCUCAGAUGAUAAAGCGAGUUUUAUUGGCUAAACCAGUGGGUGUCAGGUCUGCUGUUAUGCUAAUCUGUUAUUUUCUUGCCAACAAUUCAAAGACUUUGGUUGGUUAGGCACAAAACAGGGAAAGCUGUAUCUAUUUGGUGUCUUUGUACUCAAGUUUCUGCUCAAUUAAUUGUUUUAUCUACAUCAUAAACUAUUUAUCCAAAUGCAAAAGAUCAAAAUGCUCCAGCUAAGUACAUCAGCCCAGCAACAAAUUUUCACUAGUAUGAAACUAUCAACAUUCUACUUUAUGUUCAUCAUUUUCAUUUAUAAGUUUCAAAAAUCAGAAGUUUCUCCAACUUACAAAUUUCUAAGAUGCCACCAUCUUCUUGGAGGAGAUUCUUCAACAAGUUUAUCCAAGGAUAAAGUGGAAGGUCCUUUGUGCUGCUCCGCUGGUUGCCGGUGCAAGAGAGGCGAGGUCUCUGGCGAUGAGUGAUCAGGCGAUGAGAAUGGUGGUGAUGGUGAUAGUGAAGGAGAGAAGGGAUACUUGUGAUUGCCUGGUCCAACACUGAUGGGUAGAGGAGACGGUGGUGUUGGAGGAGAUGAGGAAGGUGAGGAGGCUAAAUCAGGCCUCAUUUGGGGGAUAUGAAGAAGGUGGAGAGAGUUUUCAGCUAGGAUAUUUUCUCAAGGGCUUGAGGUGGUGAAGAGAUUUCCCUUCCCCUUGGCUGAGUUUUCUCCUGCUAUGAGUGAAUGGUUUUUGUUCCUUCUG